AUAUCUCUCCGUACGGGAAGGAUGAGAAGCUUCGACUAAGGUUCGAUUCGAGCGAAAGCGAGAAAGCGUUGCCAACGGCAACGACCCGAAGGGCGAAGCGCGCAGCGCUGAGUAAUCCUUCCCCCACCACCA
rnacentral:sRNA from 3 species